GCCAGCAUAGCUCAGUGGUAGAGCAACUGUUUUGUAAACAGUAGGUCGUGGGUUCAAAUCCCUCUGCUGGCUCCA
rnacentral:tRNA from 1 species